UAAAGUUGUUGCAGUUAAAAAGCUCGUAGUUGAAUUUCGGGAUUAGUAGGUUGGUCGUGCCUCUGGUAUGUACUGGCUUUACUGGUUCCUCCUUCUUGAAGAACUGUAAUGUCAUUAAUUUGGUGUUGCAGGGAAACAGGACUGUUACUUUGAAAAAAUUAGAGUGUUUAAAGCAGGCUAACGCUUGAAUACGUUAGCAUGGAAUAAUGAAAUAGGACGUUUGAUCCUAUUUUGUUGGUUUCUAGGAUUGACGUAAUGAUUAAUAGGG
rnacentral:rRNA from 1 species